rnacentral:lncRNA from 1 species
AUGACUCAUUCGCUUAUCAGUCUGUCGCAUUUUCUUGUAGUGGUUUCCGUCCAUGAGAGGCAUUGCUGCUCCUCAGGGAGAGGAGGCGAAGAAGGCGGCAAUCAAGCAAGUGGCCCGGUGCUGUUGGAGGAAGCGUUUGAGAAGACUAGCAAAGGAAAGGACUUUUUCAGUGGAGACAAAAUUGGGUAUCUUGACAUUGCAUUUGGGUGCUUCUUGGGGUGGCUAAGAGUGACAGAGAAGAUGAAUGGCGUCAAACUGCUGGACGAAACAAGGACACCAGGGCUGCCCAAAGUUUGA